rnacentral:rRNA from 1 species
CAGUAGCCGCGGUAAUACGAAGGGGGCUAGCGUUGUUCGGAAUCACUGGGCGUAAAGGGUGCGUAGGCGGGCAAUUAAGUCAGGGGUGGAAUCCCGAGGCUCAACCUCGGAACUGCCCUUGAUACUGGUUGUCUUGAGUCCGGAAGAGGUGAGUGGAACUGCGAGUGUAGAGGUGAAAUUCGUAGAUGUUCGCAAGAACACCGGUGGCGAAGGCGGCUCACUGGUCCGGAACUGACGCUGGGGCACGACAGCGUGGGGAGCAAACAGGAUUAGAUACCCGCGUAGUCCCUGUCUCUUAUAC